CGGGAAUGGAUUAGUGGCGAACGGGUGAGGAACACGUGAGGAACGUGCCUUUCAUUCUGGGAUAACACCGGGAAACCGGCGCUAAUACCGGAUAAGUCCUUACGGAGAAAGUUUUAAUGCCAAAAGAUGAGCCCGCAUUUGAUUAGCUAGUUGGUGAGGUAAAAGCUCACCAAGGCGAUAAUCAAUAGCUGAUUUGAGAGGAUGAUCAGCCACACUGGGACUGAGAUACGGCCCAGACUCC
rnacentral:rRNA from 1 species